GUAGGGAAUAUUGCACAAUGGAGGAAACUCUGAUGCAGCGACGCCGCGUGAGUGAUGAAGGCCUUCGGGUCGUAAAGCUCUGUCGCAGGGGUAUAACACAAUGAAGGUACCCUGUAAGAAAGGAUCGGCUAACUUCGUGCCAGCAGCCGCGGUAAGACGAGGGAUCCCAGCGUUGUUCGGAAUCAUUGGGCGUAAAGCGGAUGUAGGUGGCUAUGUAAGUCAGAUGUGAGAGCCUGGGGCUCAACCCCAGAAGUGCAGUUGAUACUGCGUAGCUUGAGUGUCGGAGAGGUCACUAGAAUUGUUGGUGUAGUGGUGAAAUACGUAGAUAGCAACAGGAAUACCGGAGGCGAAGGCGGGUAACUGGCCGAACACUGACACUGAGAUCCGAAAGCGUGGGGAUCAAACAGGAUUAGAAACCCGUGUAGUCC
rnacentral:rRNA from 1 species